GUUCUGUCCGUAGAAUUUGGUUCCAUAAAUUGGUUUAGCGUAGCAGUAUUGCUCAGGGUGUGGCGGCUGUCCAGGUACAUGUGUGCCAGAAUUUUCUGAUAAAAUAAUGUCAAAAGCAGAGUGGGAUGGUUCUAAAUUUAUCCCUGAGAAUGUUUCCUAUCAAGGUAAUUUUCAUGCGUAUAUUAUAUUAACUGUGGUUUUCACUAGGGUAUUAAGUGUGUUGACAUGCAAUACAUGAUUUGAAAAGGAAGCCUCUGUACAUAUCUAGCAGCAUGUGUUCAACACAAGUCUACGAGUAGCAUGUACAACAUGGUGCUAUGCAGGCCUUCAUGAACGUUAUUUCCCCAUUUUCAGAUUUUCUACGUCAUCCUAAUCAAUUCCAAAUGUAACAUUGGGGGUCCAUAUCUCUACUUUUACACUUUCAUAUGCAAAACCAUGGCAGAGGAGCACUAACCAAUGACAAAAUCCUUGAGUGAUUCAUUGCUAUUCUGUCUGAACUUCCGGUGCAUCCAGCCCAGUAACUGCAUCAGAGAGUUUUAGGAGUUAACAACAGCAUGGAAGAUCAUUAUUACUCAGUAUAAUGGAUUUUGGAAUAUAAGCAGCUCUUCCAAGUCUCUAGUAGCCAAAAGUAAGAUGGCUUGAGAGAAACACAGAGAUAAUUACAAGAUUGUGGUUAUCAAGAUCAACUCAUGUGAUUGCUUGCCAGUGGGUCCUCAUUUCUUGAUGUAAGAAGUGAACAUUGCAUAGGUGCAUCCCCAUGGUUUUGUCAAACGGGUUAUAUACAUAGUGUCCGGAAAUGGAAUGACUUGAAUGCAUCAAAGGUACUACCAUUCCAUAAUAAGGAUUGUUUGCUUACAAUGUGAUGGCACUCUCAGGAAUAGUUGCAACUUGAAUCUGAUUUAAUCUUGGCUAGACUUCUGUUUUUUUCUAUGAAAACUAACUCGUUUGUUUUCUUACGGUUACCUUCUUUCCUUCUUCCUGAAAGCAUUUCUGUAUAAUUAAGUAUGUUCAAUGAUUCAAUCUGGUAAGAGCUCCCAUAUAAUCACCCUACAAUUGGUUGCUGCAAAUAAUUAGCAUGAUGAAGUGGGCUCUCUUUAUUUUGGCCAUUCAACUUGCGUCUAUGUCUAAAUGAGUUCGCUGUUGUGAAACUGAAAUUGAAUUUUAUCAUGCAACCUCCAGAAACAGGGAAGGGUAAUCAUUGGUAAUAAUGUAUCUCACCUCUAUAAGUUUUCCAAGAAAAUAUAACCAUGUAUGGAGCACUAAAGAGUUGUGGCAACAUAGUCACAAUGGAUAUCUUGUAAAUGAUUCUACUCCUAUUCUAACUUGAAGAUUGAAGUGCAUGAUUUGCCUGAGCUUUCCGAAAGUAUCUGCAGGGAGAAUUAUCUAUUACGAAGAUUUUUGUCCUGUAGCUUGCGUUUGCUUUCUCCAUAGAGGAGAGUUGAUGUCUGUCAGAACCAUAGGAGGUGAAUUGCUGUUCUUACAAGUCCUCCCAUAGAACGAUGAAGAUAGAAAAGGAACAGAUGGAAUUCUGUGCCAUGCUAGUUGAGUAGCCAACAUGUAACUAGAGGUACAAAUUGAUGACUGUUUUACGAGGAACUUAAAAGGGCAAUGUGAGGUCCAUUCAUUCAUGUCACAUGCACCCUAUUCUUGUAUGUCUUUCCAACACAACUUGCAAGCCGCCAACCAGGUAAAUGGGUUUGGUCAUACAACCUGUCUCCACGAUUUUCACAAUGUUUUAUAUCCGAUUCCCGAUUUUUUCUGGGCAAAGAACCGAUUCCCGAUUACUCCUCAGUAUUAGUUAAAGGUUAUACAAUAUGAUGAUCCUGUAGAAGGUUUUAGAGGUUGUAGUUCUCGAUAUCAUAUUGGUGGAUUCAUUUAACUUGAUUAGGCGAAAAUGCGUAGAAUAGUCGUUGGGGUCAGACUUAGAGCUGGAUUCAGUGGCUCAAUACAACACCACUUUUUUCCAUGAUUGAGGUUAGUGAUUCUAUCUUGGUGUGUACAGUAGAGUAUCUGAUAAUCAGACUAGUCCAAGUAAAGAGCCCAAGGCAUGUCUAGUCGCUACUUUCUCCAAUAUGGGAUAUCUAGAGAGGUCUGGUCAUAAUCUAAUAUAGUGUUUUGACAUGUCUUGAUCUUUCUGCGGCAAAAGUACAUCAUAGGGUCCCUGGACCCUCUCAUGCAUGUGCUUCUUUCAGUUAUUGGAACCUAACCAUUGCCGGGACAUAAAAAGAUACCAAUAUGGAUUCAUGCCAUGCUAUGUCCGAACCAAUCCUGCAGAAGCGUAGGCCUUCAACAUGAUGCAUUAACACUACCCUUUUCGUAUUAGAUCCAAAAUCACCUUUACACGAUCAUGAGCAGAACUUUUUCUUAAUAAACUAGCUGGUAUGUAAUCAUGAUACUGUAUAUGAGGCCUACUACCGUCCGUGCUCUUAGAAGAACCGAGUUGAUUUGGGUUUUGCAGGCACUGUGACUGUAAGAGAAAGUACCCAUGUUUGAUUCAUAACUGAAAUUUGGGUUUUGCUUCAAACCAUGGGGUGUUACGUUGCAGAAAUGUGAUGAUUGAUUCAUGACGUGGUUUCUAGAAGCAGAUUCUGAUGAUCAAGAUGGGGUUUUUCUUUUUGGGGUGGUCCCUUGCACAAUGUCUGCAAUGAUGAACAAGACAUGUUUGCUGUAACAUCAACUCACACCACAAAUCUUUGGGGGGAAUCACUACUUUCACAUACUAAAACCAGUAGCAGCCACUUUCAGGAGACAGAUCGUUUUCGGGUUAUGCCCAAAACACAGACAAUAUCCAGAAAAAAAAAACGACCCUUUUGAACUGAGGAAACAUUGGUCCUUGAUCAUUUGAAAUUAUUGGGUCCUUUUUUUUUCUUUCUUUUGAGCAAUUCAAUCUCAGGUUUGGUCAUAUUGAGAAUCUCUGCAAGUCUAUGUAUCAAAUCUCAUUCAGUUUCCAGUUUCUGUUACUACCAGAAACAUGUUUUUAAAAGAGCUUCUGUCCUCUGUU